rnacentral:rRNA from 1 species
CACGAACGCUGGCGGCGUGCUUAACACAUGCAAGUCGAACGAUGAAGCUAGAGCUUGCUCUGGUGGAUUAGUGGCGAACGGGUGAGUAACACGUGAGUAACCUGCCCCGAACUCUGGGAUAACUGCUGGAAACGGUAGCUACUACCGGAUAUGACCAUUGAAGGCAUCUUCUGUUGGUGGAAAGAAUUUCGGUUCGGGAUGGAUUCGCGGCCUAUCAGCUUUUUGGUGAGGUAACGGCACACCAAGGCGACGACAGGUAGCCGGCCUGAGAGGGUGAUCGGCCACACUGGGACUGAGACACGGCCCAGACUCCUACGGGAGGCAGCAGUGGGGAAUAUUGCACAAUGGGCGCAGGCCUGAUGCAGCAACGCCGCGUGAGGGACGACGGCCUUCGGGUUGUAAACCUCUUUUAGUAGGGAAGAAGCGAAAGUGACGGUACCUGCAGAAAAAGCACCGGCUAACUACGUGCCAGCCGCCGCAGUAA